GGUUAGUUAGGUUGUUAGUUGCAGUUAGAAAGAAAAGCAGAAAUCUGUGAUACACGCUUGCAUGGAGUUGACCUUGGCUCUGACCAGGCACACCGCCAUGUGCCUCCAAGACAAGGCCGCGACCUUCCUUGUUGAGGCGUUUCCGCCCAACUAAAUGGAUACCCUCACAUUCAUGUCACUGCCGCUGAGCAGCAGCAGAGAGGAGGGGAAGCAGAGCAGGGCGUUUGUGGUUGGAAAACUGGUGGAGAUGGAAACGGUUUGUCUGCUGCAGUGAAACUAAAUGACAAGCAAAGGCGAGGACACAAACAUUUU